UAGAGUUUGAUCAUGGCUCAGAGGGAACGCUGGCGGCGUGGUUUAGGCAUGCAAGUCGAGCGAUUUUGCAUUUAAACUUAAGUUUGACCGCAAGGAAGAGUUUAGGGGAUGAUGCAAAAGAGCGGCAAAAGGGUGAGUAAUACAUGGGUAAUCUGCCUUAAAGUUUGGAAUAACCCAGCGAAAGUUGGGCUAAUGCCGAAUAAGACUAAGCGAACGCAUGUUCGCGCAGUUAAAGACGGGGAACCGUAAGGUCCUGUCACUUUUUGAUGAGCCCGUGCCCUAUCAGCUAGUUGGUGAGGUAACGGCCCACCAAGGCUUUUGACGGGUAGCUGGUCUGAGAGGAUGGUCAGCCACAUUGGGACUGAGACACUGCCCAGACUCCUACGGGAGGCUGCAGUCGAGAAUCUUUAGCAAUGGGCGAAAGCCUGACUAUGCGACGCCGCGUGUGUGAUGAAGGUCUUCGGAUUGUAAAACACUGUCAGGCCGGACGAAGCCUUUGACAUCGAAUAGGUGUUAAAGGCGGACGGUACGGCCAAAGGAAGCCACGGCUAACUCCGUGCCAGCCGCCGCGGUAAUU
rnacentral:rRNA from 1 species